CCUACGGGAUGCUGCAGUAGGGAAUAUUGCUCAAUGGGGGAAACCCUGAAGCAGCAACGCCGCGUGGAGGAUGAAGGUUUUAGGAUUGUAAACUCCUUUUGUUAGAGAAGAUAAUGACGGUAUCUAACGAAUAAGCACCGGCUAACUCCGUGCCAGCAGCCGCGGUAAUACGGAGGGUGCAAGCGUUACUCGGAAUCACUGGGCGUAAAGAGUGCGUAGGCGGGGUAAUAAGUCAGAUGUGAAAUCCUGUGGCUUAACUACAGAACUGCAUUUGAAACUGUUACUCUGGAGUGUGGGAGAGGUAGGUGGAAUUCUUGGUGGAGGGGUAAAAUCCGUAGAGAUCAAGAGGAAUACUCAUUGCGAAGGCGACCUGCUGGAACAUUACUGACGCUGAUGCACGAAAGCGUGGGGAGCAAACAGGAUUAGAUACCCCGGUAGUC
rnacentral:rRNA from 1 species